rnacentral:rRNA from 1 species
UCAAAACGACUCUCAGCAACGGAUAUCUCGGCUCUCGCAUCGAUGAAGAACGUAACAAAACGCAAUAUUUGGUGUGAAUUGCAAWAUCCCGUGAAMCAUCAAAUUUUUGAACGCAAGUUGCGCCCGAAGCUAUUAAGGCGAGCGCACAGGCGUCAC